rnacentral:rRNA from 1 species
CGCGGCCUAUCAGCUUGUUGGAGAGGUAACGGCUCACCAAGGCAUCGACGGGUAGCUGGUCUGAGAGGAUGAUCAGCCACACUGGGACUGAGACACGGCCCAGACUCCUACGGGAGGCAGCAGUGGGGAAUCUUGCACAAUGGGCGAAAGCCUGAUGCAGCAACGCCGCGUGCGGGAUGAAGGCCCUAGGGUUGUAAACCGCUUUCAGUAGGGAAGAAAAUGACGGUACCUACAGAAGAAGGUGCGGCCAACUACGUGCCAGCAGCCGCGGUGACACGUAGGCACCAAGCGUUAUCCGGAUUUAUUGGGCGUAAAGAGCUCGUAGGCGGUUUGGUAAGUCGGGUGUGAAAACUCUGGGCUCAACCCAGAGAGGCCACCCGAUACUGCUAUGACUAGAGUACGGUAGGGGAGCGGGGAAUUCAUGGUGUAGCGGUGAAAUGCGCAGAUAUCAUGAGGAACACCAGCGGCGAAGGCGCCGCUCUGGGCCGUAACUGACGCUGAGGAGCGAAAGCAUGGGUAGCAAACAGGAUUAGAUACCCUGGUAGUCCAUGCCGUAAACGUUGGGCACUAGGUGUGGGUCUCAACCAACGAGAUCCGCGCCGUCGCUAACGCAUUAAGUGCCCCGCCUGGGGAGUACGG